CGCUGGUGCCUCCGCAACAAUAAACCGUGAACCCGGUCAGGCCCGGAAGGGAGCAGCCGCAGCGGUGGACUUGUGUGCCGGAGUGUCGCUGGUGGAGU
rnacentral:SRP_RNA from 1 species